UGUGUAGGCGGUUCGCCAAGUUCGGUGUGAAAUCUCCCGGCUUAACUGGGAGGGUGCGCCGAAUACUGGCGGGCUAGAGUGCGGGAGAGGAGAGCGGAAUUCCUGGUGUAGCGGUGAAAUGCGUAGAUAUCAGGAGGAACACCUGCGGUGUAGACGGCUCUCUGGACCGUUUCUGACGCUGAGACACGAAAGCGUGGGUAGCAAACAG
rnacentral:rRNA from 1 species